GAGCUCACUUCGGCAGCAUAUACACUGAAACUGGAAUGAUAGAGAUCAGCAUGGCCUCUAAGCAAGGAUGACAUGCCAAUUCAUGAAGCAGUCCAUAUUUGG